GGUUUUUCAGGAAAUUCACCUCAGUGUCUGCCGUGCGUGGCUUUAGACUGAGUUACUGAGCUCCAGGAGGGCGGCAAGAUGCUGGGGCCUGCGUUACGGGCAGCACCAUGAUCAGGGGUUCCUGGCCUCUGUCACCGAGCCUGUGGGAGCUGCUCAGGGAACAAAGUUUGUCAUCCUGAGACACCAGACCUUUGACGAGACUCAGGUAACCUCUGACAGCGCGUACGGUGCUAACAAAGAGUCCCUGUCAGCCUUUGUGGAAGACUUUGAGACUUCAGUCAGCGUUGACUUUCUAGAAGAUGAGGAGCGUGUUGGCGAAGUGCUAGACUGUGGUUCUUCGGAUCUAUCGGAUCAUGGAGGAACAGAAGAAGCUCAGCAUGAAGAUGAAAAGAUGACAGAAGCAGCAGCAUCCCAGAAGUUGUGAUCACACAGGCAGAUGAGGAUUAAAAAUGACCUUGCCUGGAGCGUGUUAGAAGAUUAAACAGCAGCUCUCCAUGCUCCAGGGAGCUAACAGUGGUGGCUAGCCCCUCAUUCAACAGUUCUGAAGAGAGUUCCUCAGUUUAACCCCAGGGUCUGCAAAACAAUCCUUUCGUUGACCAGGCUCGAAUUAGAGGGGAGGAAGAAAGCCAACGGUACUCUUCUAAGCUCCGUCCCUUUCCAGAAGCAGAUGCCGCUCACUGGGGUUCGUGCAGAUGUUUUUGAUGACAUGGUCUCUGCUUGACUCUGCCUUGACAAGAUUCGGCUGAAGUCCCUGGGGAGUCGGGAUUAAUUUGUUUGGGGUCCUGUCUCCAAGAGGCUUGUAGUGACAUCUGAAUGUGUUUUCUUAAUUCAUAGAAAAUGAUCCUGUUUUACAGGUACAACUUCUCCUGAUGUAGCUACUUGCCUUCCUCAAACCAUUUGUUAGAGGAGCCUUUAAGCUGAGCAGAAUUAAGUGCGGCUGCAUGUGAUACUUUCAUCCAGAGGCGUGCUUACAUGUGGUAUCCCAGAGUUUUUACAGGCAUGGACAUUCAUUAUUCUGGACAUCAAGGAUGCCCAGGCAUCAGCUUAGAGAUUUCUUAAUUAUUCAUCUCUGGUUGAACUUUCCACCCCUCAAGCAGAACGAUAUGGUGAAAUAACAAAUUAUGCAGAAGUUAAGUUCUUUCGGGAGAUCUGUAAUCCAUUCAGCCAGCUGUUUUUCCUUCCUGGUCCUGUAAUCCAUCCUUGUCCCUGUGUUGUUAUAAGAGAUGGGUCUUGCUUUAAUUGCAACAAUACUUUAAUAGCAUUAUAACUGUGGUAAUAAAUACGUCCUAGGUACCUCUUCA
rnacentral:lncRNA from 1 species